CAUGUGACUAAAAAAGGUGACAAGUUCCUGUCCGAUCUCUAUAUAGAAGGAAUGGGUAAAAUAGAAUAAUUAUGCUUGCGAUGGCUCACAGUUUGUUCGGCGGCGGUAAUCCUUCUCCUCUCCCUUGCUUUUUGUUGUCUCUUCUCCUCCACCUGCUGACACAGCAUCAGUAAAGGCCUACCGACUAAAGUGGGAACAAGAACACAAAAGUUACAGUUUACAAUUGGUAUGUCCCCCAGGCUUUCCGUAGGGGAGAACAGCAAGAAAGGAGGUCCUGAUCUUCUGCAGAGCCUUCGCACUGCAAAACACAGGAAGUGACAGAGGACCAUGACACAAACCAGGUGGCUUCACAGAGGAAACCUCCAUUAAGACACUCGAUCAUCAUGAUCGUACCAAAGCACAGACAUCAUGGGAUGACUCUAUGGGAG
rnacentral:lncRNA from 1 species